rnacentral:rRNA from 1 species
UCUUAUGGAUACCUGGGUAUAAAAAAACGAGUUGGGCGCAGUUUAUUGCGAAAAGGUAGUUUAUAAAAACUAAAUAUUUACUACGUUCCCAAGAGAAAAAAUUCUUUAAAAAUAACUUCUUUCGAGGAUUAGUGUUAUCUUUGUUAGUUAAAGUUAGUUUUUGUAUUUUUGGUGAACUGAAACAUCUAAGUAACUAAAAAAAAAAAUCAAACGAGAAACCGUUAGUAGUGGCGAGCGAAUACGGUAAUUAAACGAAAUGUUAGCAUAUAUCUUUUAUUAUUAUUUUAUUAAAAAAGUAUAGGAAUUCUUUGCCAAAGAGGGUGUUAGCCCCGUGAUAUUUGAUAAUUUAAGUUUUUUGUUUUCUUUAAGAUUGUUUUAGGCAUUUCUUUGGGAGUACCAUUCUUCCAUGUUUAAAAAUUUUUUAUAACCGAUAGUGUACAAGUACUGUGAAGGAAAGGUGAAAAGAACCCUGUGAAGGGGAGUGAAAUAGAUCUUGAAUUAGGGCAUUUUCAAUGUAUUAAUGAUAAACUUUGUGUUUUCUUAGUGUACCUUUUGCAUCAUGGGUCAGCGAGUUUAUUACUGAAGCGUGUUUAAGUCGAAAGAUUUUUGUAAGCGUAGCGAAAGCGAGUUUAAGCUAUUUAGGUUUAAGCGAAAAAAAAAUUUAGAAUUUGCUUUUGUAAUAAGAUCCGAAAUCGAGUGAGCUAGCUUUGGGCAGAUUGAAAUUGUAAUAACUUACAGUGGAGGAUCGAACUUGUGUAUGUGGCAAAAUACUAGGAUGACCUGAAGUUAGGGGCGAAAGACCAAUCAAACUCGAAAAUAGCUUGUUGUGCGCGAAAUAUAUUUGAGUAUAGCCUUUAAAAUAAUUUGUUAGGGUCAAAGAGGUAGAGC